GAGCUUCAGCAGUCAUAUGCAUGAACCCUGCUCCAAGGAAAACACCAGCAGAAAUACAGCCCAGGAGUCUGAGGACUCGCCGGUGAUGACCUAAUAAAAAGCAGAAGUUAAACCCACUUGGCACUGAGGAGACAGACAAAGUCUUACAGGUUGCAAUGCUGAUACUUGAACCACUCGCUUUCAGAGGAGAUUUGGGGCCACCUGGAGGUAAAGAGGUGGGGCUGAGAGGUGGUGCUGGUGCUACUCUGUGGGAACUAGUACAUGAGGGAACUACCCUUUCCUGUAACCCCAGAAAAAUAGCUGCAGGCAUGGAAAUGUCUAGUGGUAAGUUGAUUUGUCUUUUUUCUUUCUCUUUUGAUUGGGACCAGUGUUGAGAGGAAUGAGUUGAGAUUUCUGGUAUGACAUUUAUACUGUUACAACUUCUGACUGUGCCUGUUUCCUGGUAAGAACUGGAAAAAAAGACAUUUAAGUUUUAAGACAACAAGCUGCUGUAGCCCUGAAACAGCAAGGCCUAGGGGAAAACAGAAAUUAACUGAAUAAACGGGAGGAUUCUACCUGGAUAUAGAGGGGUGGGGGUAGAAGAUUCAGUUCUGAUGGGAAUCACUCUUGAUGGAAAUGUAUGGGGCAUUUCCCACACAUACUCUAGGGUAGCUGAGGGACCCUGGGAAAGACAGAAGGGAAGGCGGUAGUGAAAGAGGCCAGGCAGCUGCUGAUUCCUCUAUUCAGGUGGCCCACAUAACAACCCUGAGACCUGCUGAGCCAGUUCUCAGAGCUCUGGAGGCAGCUUUCCUAGCUACUCCAGAUUAUCUUCCUAGGGAAGUCCUGGCCUCUGGUAGAAGCAGUAUUCUUGUAGUGUUACUGGAUGAUUUUUACAGUGUUACUGGUCCCGCUGCUUGUUCUUGUGAUCCAAUAAUGAGAUACGGACAGACUGGGAAAGAAGGGAGUUUAUUUCUGCAACUGAUUACAGGGAGGUCGGAGUAGCACACCAGACUAACUCAAAGUUACAAGUUUUUCUUUAGCUUUUACAUACAAUUCAAGCUCUGUGACUACCUGUGGGAAUGUUUCCUAAUUAAUCUAAACUAGGGGUCUGCAGAUAAAAGUUUUUGUUUUUGUUUUUUUUUUAGAAACAAAGCAAUAAAUGAUUUGAUUUAGAAAUAAAACCAUUCUCAUUAUUGCAGCAUUAUCAUCAGUCAUUGAAUGCUAAAGCUGUUUAUGCUUCUUUUUCCCUGGGAUGUCUGAACCUGGCAACUUUUCUUCCUAUUCUUCUAUGUUCUUAGCAAACCCACAUCAAGGGUGUCUGUUCGCGUUUGAAAUUCAUCAGCAUCAGAAAGAGCAAACAUGUUGGCAGUAUCUAGAAAACCAUCAACAUGAGCAUGGGGCAGUUCAUUUCGCUUUGCAGCUGAUCCCACCAUAAUGUUUGCUUCCUGCUGCAAUAUCCCCAGGUACCUACCCAGCGGAAGGGGAUGGGAUGGUACGCCUGUGAGAAGCUACAGGCCAGUGGCCUAGAGGUUGUCAACUGGGGACAAGGGAGUUCAUGGGGA